UUGUGUUUUCCUUUGUUCAAAGCUUCAUCUAUACUUAAAUUAUGUCCCAAGUGUAAGGAAAAACACCAAUUCCUCAAAGUUAAAAACUUCAUGCAACAGAACUUGUUGAAACUUUGAUACGUUAGCAUCCACUUCCAAAUAAUUCCACAUAUGUUUGCAAUAACUAAAAAACAACGAAAAAAGGAAAGAGGACAGCAUGAAUUGCCCCAAAAGCCAGCAGACCUCACCUAACAAUUCAACGAAAUUAAAGCAGUUAGCCUCUUUCAAUUCACAUCUACCACAAAGAGCAGGUUUAUUCUAAUCACUCCCGCAUUUCAUUUUAUUCCUGCUUUCUGUUCUACUUUUUCUUCUUCUGCAAAAAGAUCAGAUCUUUAGGGUUUUGGCUUGAUUAGCAAUCUUUUCUUCAGUUUACUCUUAAGAUUAAUUUCUUUCUUCAGGUUCCAUAGUUGCAUAUUAUCUGGAUUGAGGCGCAGUUAUUAUUGUUGUGUUUUAGUAUUUGGUGUUAUUCACGUCGUAUUGGCACCUAAAUGAUGAUUAAUGGUUACAGACUUGUGCACUUAUGUAGUCAUGUGAAAAGGAACCUGAAUGUAGUGUAAGAAAUUGUGAAACUUUGACCUCCAAGAUGAAAUGACCUUGUUCUUGUCCUAAUAUUCACAAUUCUCUGUGCGGAACUUAUUAGGACAUCCUAUUUAUGGUUUUACCUCAAUGUACACUGUGAUUGGUGAAUUGUUCUUAACCUUGAAAAGAUUGGAGUCUUGUGGUUAUUUCACUUAAUUAGGACGAAGUCAUACACAAUGACAUUAGAACUGAUUCGAAGCAAAAGAGGUGGCAGGUACAGAUUCAAAUGGGUUCAACAGGUUGAUUUUAACUUAGCAUUUUGAAUGGGAGCAUAGAGAUAUACGUGAAAAUCUCUAAUGUUCCAUCAAAUAUUAAAAAUUGAACCUACAAUGGGAGCAACGAU
rnacentral:lncRNA from 1 species